rnacentral:rRNA from 1 species
ACCAAAUAGAUACCCAGGUAGUCCACGCCCUAAACGAUGCGAACUGGAUGUUGGGUACAUUACGGUACUCAGUGUCGAAAGCUAAACGCGUUAAGUUCGCCGCCUGGGGAGUACGGUCGCAAGACUGAAACUCAAAGGAAUUGACGGGGGCCCGGCACAAGCGGUGGAGUAUGUGGUUUAAUUCGAUGCAACGCGAAGAACCUUACCUGGCCUUGACAUCUGUCGAAUCCUACAGAGAUGCGGGAGUGCCGCAAGGAACGACAAGACAGGUGCUGCAUGGCUGUCGUCAGCUCGUGUCGUGAGAUGUUGUGUUAAGUUCCCGCAACGAGCGCAACCCUUGUCCCUAGUUGCCAGCACGUAAUGGUGGGAACUCUAGGGUAGACUGCCGGUGACAAA